rnacentral:rRNA from 1 species
ACGCACGCUGGCGGCGUGCUUCACACAUGCCAGUCGCACGGAAAGGCCCUGCUUUUGUGGGGUGCUCGAGUGGCGAACGGGUGAGUAACACGUGAGUAACCUGCCCUUGACUUUGGGAUAACUUCAGGAAACUGGGGCUAAUACCGGAUAGGAGCUCCUGCUGCCUGGUGGGGGUUGGAAAGUUUCGGCGGUUGGGGAUGGACUCGCGGCUUAUCAGCUUGUUGGUGGGGUAGUGGCUUACCAAGGCUUUGACGGGUAGCCGGCCUGAGAGGGUGACCGGCCACAUUGGGACUGAGAUACGGCCCAGACUCCUACGGGAGGCAGCAGUGGGGAAUAUUGCACAAUGGGCGGAAGCCUGAUGCAGCAACGCCGCGUGCGGGAUGACGGCCUUCGGGUUGUAAACCGCUUUCGCCUGUGACGAAGCGUGAGUGACGGUAAUGGGUAAAGAAGCACCGGCUAACUACGUG